ACCGCGCCCCGGCUUGAGUGGAAAUCCUUUUUGCAAUCUGAAAACUUGCUUUUAAACAAAAACUUCGAUGCAAAAAGAUUGGGAACGGAAGACGGAAAUUGGC
rnacentral:misc_RNA from 1 species